CUCCCAGACUCCUACGGGAGGCAGCAGUGAGGAAUAUUGGUCAAUGGCCGGAAGGCUGAACCAGCCAAGUCGCGUGAGGGAAUAAGGCCCUAUGGGUCGUAAACCUCUUUUGUCAGGGAGCAAAGGCGUCCACGAGUGGACGAAAGGAGAGUACCUGAAGAAAAAGCAUCGGCUAACUCCGUGCCAGCAGCCGCGGUAAUACGGAGGAUGCGAGCGUUAUCCGGAUUUAUUGGGUUUAAAGGGUGCGUAGGCGGGGUGUCAAGUCAGCGUUAAAAUUGAGAGGCUCACCCUCUUCGAGCCGUUGAAACUGGUUUUCUUGAGUGAGUGAGAAGUAUGCGGAAUGCGUGGUGUAGCGGUGAAAUGCAUAGAUAUCACGCAGAACUCCGAUUGCGAAGGCAGCGUACCGGCGCCCAACUGACGCUGAAGCACGAAGGCGUGGGUAUCGAACAGGAUUAGAUACCCGAGUACG
rnacentral:rRNA from 1 species